rnacentral:rRNA from 1 species
AGUGAACGCUGGCGGUAGGCCUAACACAUGCAAGUCGAACGGCAGCACAGUAAGAGCUUGCUCUUACGGGUGGCGAGUGGCGGACGGGUGAGGAAUACAUCGGAAUCUACUUUUUCGUGGGGGAUAACGUAGGGAAACUUACGCUAAUACCGCAUACGACCUACGGGUGAAAGCAGGGGAUCUUCGGACCUUGCGCGAUUGAAUGAGCCGAUGUCGGAUUAGCUAGUUGGCGGGGUAAAGGCCCACCAAGGCGACGAUCCGUAGCUGGUCUGAGAGGAUGAUCAGCCACACUGGAACUGAGACACGGUCCAGACUCCUACGGGAGGCAGCAGUGGGGAAUAUUGGACAAUGGGCGCACGCCUGAUCCAGCCAUACCGCGUGGGUGAAGAAGGCCUUCGGGUUGUAAAGCCCUUUUGUUGGGAAAGAAAAGCAGCAGGUUAAUACCCCGCUGUUCUGACGGUACCCAAAGAAUAAGCACCGGCUAACUUCG